UCUGUCUAUAUUUUAAUGCCAGGAUCAUACUGUUUUGAUUAUUGUAACUUCAUAAUAUAGUCUGAAAUCAGGAGGUGUGAUGCCUCCACCUUUGUUCUUCUCGCUCAAGAUUUCUUUGGUGA